AGAGUUUGAUCAUGGCUCAGGACGAACGCUGGCGGCGUGCUUAACACAUGCAAGUCGAACGAUGAAGCCUUUCGGGGUGGAUUAGUGGCGAACGGGUGAGUAACACGUGGGCAAUCUGCCCUGCACUCUGGGACAAGCCCUGGAAACGGGGUCUAAUACCGGAUAAUACCUUCCCUCGCAUGGGGGUGGGUUCAAAGCUCCGGCGGUGCAGGAUGAGCCCGCGGCCUAUCAGCUUGUUGGUGAGGUAGUGGCUCACCAAGGCGACGACGGGUAGCCGGCCUGAGAGGGCGACCGGCCACACUGGGACUGAGACACGGCCCAGACUCCUACGGGAGGCAGCAGUGGGGAAUAUUGCACAAUGGGCGAAAGCCUGAUGCAGCGACGCCGCGUGGGGGAUGACGGCCUUCGGGUUGUAAACCUCUUUCAGCAGGGAAGAAGCGAAAGUGACGGUACCUGCAGAAGAAGCGCCGGCUAACUACGUGCCAGCAGCCGCGGUA
rnacentral:rRNA from 1 species